UACGUAGGGGGCAAGCGUUUGUCCGGAAUCAUUGGGCGUAAAGAGCGCGUAGGCGGUCCGGUAAGUCCGCUGUGAAAGUCAAGGGCUCAACCCUUGAAUGCCGGUGGAUACUGUCGGGCUAGAGUCCGGAAGAGGCGAGUGGAAUUCCUGGUGUAGCGGUGAAAUGCGCAGAUAUCAGGAGGAACACCAAUGGCGAAGGCAGCUCGCUGGGACGUGACUGACGCUGAGACGCGAAAGCGUGGGGAGCGAACAGG
rnacentral:rRNA from 1 species